GAUGAACGCUGGCGGCGUGCCUAAUACAUGCAAGUCGAGCGAACAGACGGGGAGCUUGCUCCUCUGACGUUAGCGGCGGACGGGUGAGUAACACGUGGAUAACAUACCUCUAAGACUGGGAUAAUUUCGGGAAACCGGAGCUACUACCGGAUAAUAUAUUGAACCGCAUGGUGCAAUAGUGAAAGACGGUUUUGCUGUCAGUUAUAGCUGGAUCCGCGUCGCAUUAGCUAGUUGGUAAGGUAACGGCUUACCAAGGCUACGAUGCGUAGCCGACCUGAGAGGGUGAUCGGCCACACUGGAACUGAGACACGGUCCAGACUCCUACGGGAGGCAGCAGUGGGGAAUCUUCCGCAAUGGGCGAAAGCCUGACGGAGCAACGCCGCGUGAGUGAUGAAGGUCUUCGGAUCGUAAAACUCUGUUAUUAGGGAAGAACAAAUGCGUAAUUAACUAUGCACGUCUUGACGGUACCUAAACAGAAAGCCACGGCUAACUACGUG
rnacentral:rRNA from 1 species